GACGAACGCUGGCGGCGUGCCUAAUACAUGCAAGUAGAACGCACAGUUUAUACCGUAGCUUGCUACACCAUAAACUGUGAGUUGCGAACGGGUGAGUAACGCGUAGGUAACCUGCCUGGUAGCGGGGGAUAACUAUUGGAAACGAUAGCUAAUAACGCAUAAUAUUGAUUAUUGCAUGCUAAUUGCUUGAAAGAUGCUAUUGCAUCACUACCAGAUGGACCUGCGUUGUAUUAGCUAGUAGGUGAGGUAACGGCUCACCUAGGCGACGAUACAUAGCCGACCUGACAGGGUGAUCGGCCACACUGGGACUGAGACACGGCCCAGACUCCUACGGGAGGCAGCAGUAGGGAAUCUUCGGCAAUGGACGAAAGUCUGACCGAGCAACGCCGCGUGAGUGAAGAAGGUUUUCGGAUCGUAAAGCUCUGUUGUAAGAGAAGAACGGGUGUGAGAGUGGAAAGUUCACACUGUGACGGUAUCUUACCAGAAAGGGACGGCUAACUACGUG
rnacentral:rRNA from 1 species